rnacentral:rRNA from 1 species
UACGUAGGGGGCAAGCGUUGUCCGGAUUUAUUGGGCGUAAAGAGCGUGUAGGCGGCCAGACAAGUCUGCUGUGAAAGUCGGGGGCUCAACCCUCGGAUGCCGGUGGAUACUGUCGGGCUAGAGUACGGAAGAGGCGAGUGGAAUUCCUGGUGUAGCGGUGAAAUGCGCAGAUAUCAGGAGGAACACCAAUUGCGAAGGCAGCUCGCUGGGACGUUACUGACGCUGAGACGCGAAAGCGUGGGGAGCAAACAGG